CAUCCUGUGCGGAACGCCACUCCCAAAACAGGUGCCAUUGUGGAACCUUCCCCAUGUCACAGCCGUCACCUUGGUCACUGCCGCCCCACCCGGAGCACUCGUCUCUGAGAGUGCUGGGCAGGUGGCAGCCAUGUCCAGCACGAAGAGAGCGAGAGAGGAGGAGAGAGUGGUUUUAAAUGGGAAGAGGGAGCUGGGGGCCCCAGAACCGAAGAGGAGGAGGGGGCCCACCAUGACCAUCAGGCAGCGGAGGGAGAGGAGGAAGGGAGCCCGGUUCCAUCGCGCCCGGGCCAGCGCUGUGAGCGACCAUGGGGAGCCCAUGGAGGUGGAUCCGCCUCCAGAGGAGCCCAUGGAGGUGGAUCCGCCUCCAGAGGAACCCAUGGAGGUGGAUCCGCCUGCGGCACAGCUGGCCUGGCACCACACCACCGUGCCAGGCCCUGUGUUGGCGCGGUCACAGCUCCGCCAUCGCUGGUCCGGGCGCUCGGCUCCCUACCCGCUGCGUGGCCCCCGCCCCCGGCAUUAGCUGGGUGGCAUUGCUAACAUCUGCUCCUCCUCCACCUUGUUGCUCCUCUGCGGUUCUGCGGGCCCCCGGUUCCAUCUUCCCCCCGUAGGAGUUAGGUCCCACUUCUGGGCUUUGUUGUUGAUUUUAGUGUUAGCUUAGUUUUAGUGUUCAGUUCAGUUUUAGCAUUAGGCAUAGGUUCCUGUUAGGAGUUUAGCGUUAGGCAUAGGUUACUGUUAGGAGUUUAGGGUUAGGCAUAGGUUACUGUUAGGAGUUUAGGGUUAGGCAUAGGUUACUGUUAGGAGUUUAGAGUUAGGCAUAGGUUACUGAUAGGAGUUUAGAGUUAGGCAUAGGUUGCUGCUGCCAACUGGCAGUAAAUGCUGCUCACUCGGUAAGCCCUCCCCAAGUUCUCAUGCAGAGAAAUGAGUGCGACUGCCCUGAGAAGGGAGGUUUGAGGACGUCUGCGAUAAAUUUCCGUCUUGUGACUUUUCUGUUGCAGAACAUCGAGGCAUGUGAGUGGCUGAGCAAUGGAGUUGGGACUCAGGGGAGCAAUCGAGCAAUGGGUGCCUGUGUCACAACCUUCCUGAGCGGCCCUUGCAAGGACUGGCACAGUCUUGGGACUCGGUCUGGCGAGACAGUGAAGAAAGCCAAGGCAAGUGCUGCUUGGCUGAGGAAGGAAGCCCAGAAGGAGAGCAAAAAGAAGCGAGAAGGGCUUGAGUGAGAAGGCCCACAGGACACUCGAAUCAGCUGGAAUGCUUCCUCGGAGGUGGCACCAAGGGCAGCGGACUGAGUCAGCGUCCGGUUUUGUGGCAUGGCCGUGCUUUCCCUGUCACGGACAGUGCAGCGGAACUGAGGCACCUGGAAGGGAAGGGCUUGUGCUGCAUUCCAAGCAAAGAGGGCUUGCCAGAGCCAGGUCUUCAUCUAUGGCAAGAGAUGGAGAGGCUGUGUUCCUUCAGGCUGCGUCUCUUCAGGGCCAGGGCCGGUCUAGUGUGAGAUUGAAGUACGGCUAGCCGGGCCUGGAGGGAGAGGAGCUGACGUAGCCACAGGGUCAGGCUUCUCCUUGUGUCUGCCUGGAGGCUGAAUUUUUUUUGCUAAGCAGAAAAGCAGAAUUUUUUUGCUAAGCAGAAACCCUGGGCGCUGGGGUUUCAUUUUGGGCUGUGUUGAUAAAUACAACCCAGAGCCUUUUGUAUUGAAUAAAAGCGAAACCAACUUUUUAAACACAGUGCUGCCUCAUUCUGUAGCUGGUCAAAAGGUCCUGUGCUUGGGCUGGCAAUCACGGGGCCAUGAACCGGUCGGCUCUUUAUCACCUGGGUGUUGUGUCACUGUGUCACCAGGG